AGAACGAACGCUGGCGGCAGGCCUAACACAUGCAAGUCGAACGGACCUUUCGGGGUUAGUGGCGGACGGGUGAGUAACACGUGGGAACGUGCCUUUUGGUUCGGAAUAGCUCCUGGAAACGGGUGGUAAUGCCGAAUGUGCCCUUCGGGGGAAAGAUUUAUCGCCAUUAGAGCGGCCCGCGUCUGAUUAGCUAGUUGGUGAGGUAAAGGCUCACCAAGGCUACGAUCAGUAGCUGGUCUGAGAGGAUGACCAGCCACAUUGGGACUGAGACACGGCCCAAACUCCUACGGGAGGCAGCAGUGGGGAAUCUUGCGCAAUGGGCGAAAGCCUGACGCAGCCAUGCCGCGUGAAUGAUGAAGGUCUUAGGAUUGUAAAAUUCUUUCACCGGGACGAUAAUGACGGUACCCGGAGAAGAAGCCCGGCUAACUUCGUGCCAGCAGCCGC
rnacentral:rRNA from 1 species